UGCUUAACACAUGCAAGUCGAACGGUGUCUUCGGACACAGUGGCGGACGGGUGAGUAACGCGUGAGAAUCUGGCUCUAGGUCUGGGACAACCACUGGAAACGGUGGCUAAUACCGGAUGUGCCGAGAGGUGAAAGGUUAACUGCCUAGAGAUGAGCUCGCGUCUGAUUAGCUAGUAGGUAGUGUAAUGGACUACCUAGGCGACGAUCAGUAGCUGGUCUGAGAGGACGAUCAGCCACACUGGGACUGAGACACGGCCCAGACUCCUACGGGAGGCAGCAGUGGGGAAUUUUCCGCAAUGGGCGAAAGCCUGACGGAGCAAUACCGCGUGAGGGAGGAAGGCUCUUGGGUCGUAAACCUCUUUUCUCAGGGAAGAACACAAUGACGGUACCUGAGGAAUAAGCAUCGGCUAACUCCGUGCCAGCAGCCGCGGUAAUACGGAGGAUGCAAGCGUUAUCCGGAAUGAUUGGGCGUAAAGCGUCCGCAGGUGGCAAUGUAAGUCUGCUGUUAAAGAGUCUAGCUCAACUAGAUACAAGCAGUGGAAACUACAUAGCUAGAGUACGUUCGGGGCAGAGGGAAUUCCUGGUGUAGCGGUGAAAUGCGUAGAGAUCAGGAAGAACACCGGUGGCGAAGGCGCUCUGCUAGGCCGUAACUGACACUGAGGGACGAAAGCUAGGGGAGCGAAUGGGAUUAGAUACCCCAGUAGUCCUAGCCGUAAACGAUGGAUACUAGGCGUGGCUUGUAUCGACCCGAGCCGUGCCGUAGCUAACGCGUUAAGUAUCCCGCCUGGGGAGUACGCCGGCAACGGUGAAACUCAAAGGAAUUGACGGGGGCCCGCACAAGCGGUGGAGUAUGUGGUUUAAUUCGAUGCAACGCGAAGAACCUUACCAAGGCUUGACAUGUCGCGAAUCUUGAUGAAAGUUGAGAGUGCCUUCGGGAGCGCGAACACAGGUGGUGCAUGGCUGUCGUCAGCUCGUGUCGUGAGAUGUUGGGUUAAGUCCCGCAACGAGCGCAACCCUCGUUUUUAGUUGCCAGCAUUAAGUUGGGCACUCUAGAGAGACUGCCGGUGACAAACCGGAGGAAGGUGGGGAUGACGUCAAGUCAGCAUGCCCCUUACGCCUUGGGCUACACACGUACUACAAUGCUCCGGACAGAGGGCAGCAAGCAUGCGAAUGCAAGCAAAUCCCGUAAACCGGAGCUCAGUUCAGAUCGCAGGCUGCAACUCGCCUGCGUGAAGGAGGAAUCGCUAGUAAUUGCAGGUCAGCAUACUGCAGUGAAUUCGUUCCCGGGCCUUGUACACACCGCCCGUCACACCAUGGAAGCUGGUAGUGCCCGAAGUCAUUACUCCAACCUUUCGGGGAGGAGGAUGCCUAAGGCAGGACUGGUGACUGGGGUGAAGUCGUAACAAG
rnacentral:rRNA from 1 species